GACGAACGCUGGCGGCGUGCUUAACACAUGCAAGUCGAGCGGUAAGGCCCUUUCGGGGGUACACGAGCGGCGAACGGGUGAGUAACACGUGGGUGACCUGCCCUCAGCUCUGGGAUAAGCCUGGGAAACCGGGUCUAAUACCGGAUAUGACUCCAUGACGCAUGUUGUGGGGUGGAAAGCCUUGUGCGGCUGAGGAUGGGCCCGCGGCCUAUCAGCUUGUUGGUGGGGUGAUGGCCUACCAAGGCGACGACGGGUAGCCGGCCUGAGAGGGCGACCGGCCACACUGGGGACUGAGACACGGCCCAGACUCCUACGGGAGGCAGCAGUGGGGAAUCUUGCGCAAUGGGCGAAAGCCUGACGCAGCGACGCCGCGUGAGGGAUGACGGCC
rnacentral:rRNA from 1 species